CAGCAGCCGCGGUAAUACGGAGGGUGCAAGCGUUAAUCGGAAUUACUGGGCGUAAAGCGCACGCAGGCGGUUUGUUAAGUCGGAUGUGAAAUCCCCGAGCUUAACUUGGGAACUGCAUUUGAAACUGGCAAGCUAGAGUCUUGUAGAGGGGGGUAGAAUUCCAGGUGUAGCGGUGAAAUGCGUAGAGAUCUGGAGGAAUACCGGUGGCGAAGGCGGCCCCCUGGACAAAGACUGACGCUCAGGUGCGAAAGCGUGGGGAGCAAACAGGAUUAGAUACCCCAGUAGUCCCUGUCUCUUAUAC
rnacentral:rRNA from 1 species